rnacentral:misc_RNA from 1 species
UUUCCGUAGGUGAACCUGCGGAAGGAUCAUUAACGAAUAACUAUGGUGUCUUGGUUGUAGCUGGCUCCUCGGAGCAAUGUGCACGCCCGCCAUUUUUAUCUUUCCACCUGUGCACCGACUGUAGGUCUGGAUGACUCUCGCACUCCGGUGCGGAUGCGAGGAUUGCUCUCGGGCUCUCCUCGAAUUUCCAGGCUCUACGUCUUUUUUCACACCCCAGACGUAUGAUACAGAAUGUAGUCAAUGGGCUUGAUCGCCUAUAAAACACUAUACAACUUUCAGCAACGGAUCUCUUGGCUCUU